UGUAAGGUUGGAUAAGAGGCAUAACAAACUUCAUUUCCAAAUGGAUGUAUCACUUUCAGAUUCCAGGGAUCAUUUUCUAGUCAGGUGGAUGACUAUCCUUUGGCUGGCUUGGACUUGACUCAUCGAUUCGAAUGAAGUUUAGUUAUUUAUAAGGUGGAUAAAAUAUGAUCUGAUCCAUUAAUCUAAUCUAUAUUUGAUCUAUUAUGAG
rnacentral:lncRNA from 1 species